rnacentral:rRNA from 1 species
GGCUCAGGAUGAACGCUGGCGGCGUGCCUAACACAUGCAAGUCGAGCGAAGCACUUUACUUCGAUUCUUUCGGGAUGAAGAGUGAUUUGACUGAGCGGCGGACGGGUGAGUAACGCGUGGGUAACCUGCCUCAUACAGGGGGAUAACAGUUAGAAAUGACUGCUAAUACCGCAUAAGCGCACGGGAACGCAUGUUUCUGUGUGAAAAGCCGAGACGGUAUGAGAUGGACCCGCGUCUGAUUAGCUAGUUGGUGAGGUAACGGCCCACCAAGGCGACGAUCAGUAGCCGACCUGAGAGGGUGACCGGCCACAUUGGGACUGAGACACGGCCCAAACUCCUACGGGAGGCAGCAGUGGGGAAUAUUGCACAAUGGGGGAAACCCUGAUGCAGCGACGCCGCGUGAGUGAAGAAGUAUUUCGGUAUGUAAAGCUCUAUCAGCAGGGAAGAGAAUGACGGUACCUGACUAAGAAGCCCCGGCUAACUACGUGCCAGCAGCCGCGGUAA